UACGUAGGGUGCAAGCGUUAAUCGGAAUGACUGGGCGUAAAGGGUGCGCAGGCGGUCUGCUAAGACAGAGGUGAAAUCCCCGGGCUUAACCUGGGAAUGGCCUAUGUGACUGGCAGGCUCGAGGAUGGCAGAGGGAGGCGGAAUGCCACGUGUAGCAGUGAAAUGCGUAGAGAUGUGGCGGAACACCGAUGGCGAAGGCAGCCUCCUGGGCCAAUCCUGACGCUCAGGCACGAAAGCGUGGGGAGCAAACAGG
rnacentral:rRNA from 1 species